UAUCCAGCAAUGGGAACGGUU
rnacentral:piRNA from 1 species